CCUACGGGGGGCUGCAGUGGGGAAUAUUGGACAAUGGGGGAAACUCUGAUCCAGCGACGCCGCGUGAGUGAAGAAGUAAUUCGUUAUGUAAAGCUCUUUCAUCAGGGAAGAAAAUGACGGUACCUGAGUAAGAAUCCCCGGCUAACUACGUGCCAGCAGCCGCGGUAAUACGUAGGGGGCAAGCGUUAUCCGGAUUUACUGGGUGUAAAGGGAGCGUAGACGGCUGUGCAAGUCUGAAGUGAAAGGCAGGGGCUCAACCCCGGAACUGCUUUGGAAACUGUAGGGCUUGAGUGCAGGAGGGGUAAGUGGAAUUCCUGGUGUAGCGGUGAAAUGCGUAGAUAUUAGGAGGAACACCAGUGGCGAAGGCGGCUUACUGGACUGUAACUGACGUUGAGGCUCGAAAGCGUGGGUAGCAAACAGGAUUAGAUACCCUAGUAGUC
rnacentral:rRNA from 1 species